GUCCCAGUGAAGAUCUCAAGGCCUACCGAUAGGAAGUGCCGUUUGACACUGUUACCAGCAGCUGCUUCUCCCAUCUGCAGGUGACCAUCCUUAGACCAUAACCUUUGUGGUUUGGUCUUGGGGUGUAGUUCCCAACUGCUGAUGUUUGAUUCAGAUGUGGUGUGUGAUUUAAAUCGGGUCUCUGAGGGAU